UGCAAGUCGUACGCGUUGGCCCAACUGAUUUGAAGUGCUUGCACGGAUCUGACGUUGGUUUACCAACGAGUGGCGGACGGGUGAGUAACACGUAGGUAACCUGCCCAGAAGCGGGGGACAACACUUGGAAACAGGUGCUAAUACCGCAUAACAAUUCAAAUCGCAUGAUUUGAAUUUAAAAGAUGGUUUCGGCUAUCACUUCUGGAUGGACCUGCGGCGCAUUAGCUUGUUGGUGGGGUAACGGCCUACCAAGGCAGUGAUGCGUAGCCGAGUUGAGAGACUGAUCGGCCACAAUGGGACUGAGACACGGCCCAUACUCCUACGGGAGGCAGCAGUAGGGAAUCUUCCACAAUGGGCGCAAGCCUGAUGGAGCAACACCGCGUGAGUGAAGAAGGUUUUCGGAUCGUAAAGCUCUGUUGUUGAAGAAGAACGUGCAUGAGAGUAACUGUUCAUGCAGUGACGGUAUUCAACCAGAAAGUCACGGCUAACUACGUGCCAGCAGCCGCGGUAAUACGUAGGUGGCAAGCGUUAUCCGGAUUUAUUGGGCGUAAAGAGAGUGCAGGCGGUUUCUUAAGUCUGAUGUGAAAGCCUUCGGCUCAACCGAAGAAGUGCAUCGGAAACUGGGAAACUUGAGUACAGAAGAGGGCAGUGGAACUCCAUGUGUAGCGGUGGAAUGCGUAGAUAUAUGGAAGAACACCAGUGGCGAAGGCGGCUGCCUGGUCUGUAACUGACGCUGAGACUCGAAAGCAUGGGUAGCGAACAGGAUUAGAUACCCUGGUAGUCCAUGCCGUAAACGAUGAGUGCUAGGUGUUGGAGGGUUUCCGCCCUUCAGUGCCGGAGCUAACGCAUUAAGCACUCCGCCUGGGGAGUACGACCGCAAGGUUGAAACUCAAAGGAAUUGACGGGGGCCCGCACAAGCGGUGGAGCAUGUGGUUUAAUUCGAAGCUACGCGAAGAACCUUACCAGGUCUUGACAUCUUGCGCCAACCCUAGAGAUAGGGCGUUUCCUUCGGGAACGCAAUGACAGGUGGUGCAUGGUCGUCGUCAGCUCGUGUCGUGAGAUGUUGGGUUAAGUCCCGCAACGAGCGCAACCCUUGUUACUAGUUGCCAGCAUUAAGUUGGGCACUCUAGUGAGACUGCCGGUGACAAACCGGAGGAAGGUGGGGACGACGUCAGAUCAUCAUGCCCCUUAUGACCUGGGCUACACACGUGCUACAAUGGACGGUACAACGAGCAGCGAACUCGCGAGGGCAAGCAAAUCUCUUAAAACCGUUCUCAGUUCGGAUUGCAGGCUGCAACUCGCCUGCAUGAAGUCGGAAUCGCUAGUAAUCGCGGAUCAGCAUGCCGCGGUGAAUACGUUCCCGGGCCUUGUACACACCGCCCGUCACACCAUGAGAGUUUGUAACACCCAAAGUCGGUGGGGUAACCUUUGGAGCC
rnacentral:rRNA from 1 species